rnacentral:misc_RNA from 1 species
AAUAGAAGGGUAGACCUUGCACAGGAAACAGGAGGAAUGACUUCUGCAACUCUUGUUAUGCAUUCUGUUUCACAGGCCGUUCAUAUGAGUUCUGGUUCUUCGACAGCUGCAUUUCCAACUUCUCAUAUGGGCUCUCCAAAUAUAAUUAGAAUGCCCCACGCACCUCAAUUUCAGGUUCCAGCAGGAGUUCCUAGAAGUCCUGUUACUCCUGGUCCUCCUGGUCUUGGUCCAGCUAUACCUUCAUCUUCCAAUCUUACUGCUACAGUUUCACCCGGAGGUCCUUCUUUACCCUUAAGACCCAAUGCUCCUCCUGUUCAUGUUCUGGCCAAUCCAUCUGUUCAACAACAAACAUAUUCUCCUUAUCAUUCUCCAGCUCCUAUUGCUCCAUCUCACCAGGGACCUUGGUUGCAGCCUCCACCAGUCACUACCAUGCUAAGACCACCAUUUCCAUCAUAUCCUGCAGGUUUUGCUGUUCCCUAUCCUUUGUCAGCUACUGGUGCACCUCUCUCUUCAGUGACAUUG